rnacentral:rRNA from 1 species
GACGAACGCUGGCGGCGUGCUUAACACAUGCAAGUCGAGCGGUAAGGCCCUUCGGGGUACACGAGCGGCGAACGGGUGAGUAACACGUGGGUGACCUGCCUUUAGCUCUGGGAUAAGCCUGGGAAACUGGGUCUAAUACCGGAUAUGACCUCAUGACGCAUGUUGUGGGGUGGAAAGCCUUGUGCGGCUUGAGAUGGGCCCGCGGCCUAUCAGCUUGUUGGUGGGGUGAUGGCCACCAAGGCGACGACGGGUAGCCGGCCUGAGAGGGCGACCGGCCACACCGGGACUGAGACACGGCCCAGACUCCUACGGGAGGCAGCAGUGGGGAAUCUUG